rnacentral:rRNA from 1 species
UGGGGAAUAUUGCACAAUGGGGGAAACCCUGAUGCAGCGACGCCGCGUGAGUGAAGAAGUAUUUCGGUAUGUAAAGCUCUAUCAGCAGGAACGAGACAAGACGGUACCUGACUAAGAAGCCCCGGCUAACUACGUGCCAGCAGCCGCGGUAAUACGUAGGGGGCAAGCGUUAUCCGGAAUCACUGGGUGUAAAGGGAGCGUAGACGGCUGAGCAAGCCUGAAGUGAAAGGCGGGGGCCCAACCCCCGGACUGCUUUGGGAACUGUACGGCUGGAGUGCAGGAGAGGUAAGUGGAAUUCCUAGUGUAGCGGUGAAAUGCGUAGAUAUUAGGAAGAACACCAGUGGCGAAGGCGGCUUACUGGACUGUAACUGACGUUGAGGCUCGAAAGCGUGGGGAGCAAACAGG